rnacentral:rRNA from 1 species
AACGUAGGAGGCGAGCGUUAUCCGGAGUUACUGGGCGUAAAGCGCGUGUAGGCGGUUGGGUAAGUGGCUUGUGAAAGCCUCCGGCUAAACCGGGGGAGGUCAGGUCAGACUGCCGAGCUAGAAGGAGCUAGAGGGGCGCAGAAUUCGGGGUGUAGCGGUGAAAUGUGUAGAGAUCCCGAGGAAUGCCAGUGGUGAAGACGGCGCUCUGGGGCUUACUUGACGCUGAGACGCGAAAGCUUGGGGAGCGAACGGG